CUUGGUCAUUUAGAGGAAGUAAAAGUCGUAACAAGGUUUCCGUAGGUGAACCUGCGGAAGGAUCAUUACAAGUGAGGCUACCGAACGUUGGAAACAGCGGUUAGGAGCUUACACCCACCCGUGUUUACAUACUAUUGUUGCUUUGGCGGGCCGUGGCCUCCACUGCGGGCUCUGCUCGUGUGUGCCCGCCAGAGAACCAAACUCUGAAUGUUAGUGAUGUCUGAGUACUAUCUAAUAGUUAAAACUUUCAACAACGGAUCUCUUGGUUCUGGCAUCGAUGAAGAACGCAGCGAAAUGCGAUAAGUAAUGUGAAUUGCAGAAUUCAGUGAAUCAUCGAAUCUUUGAACGCACAUUGCGCCCUGUGGUAUUCCGCAGGGCAUGCCUGUUCGAGCGUCAUUUAACCACUCACGCCUACGUGGCUAUUGGGGGCACGCGGUCUCCGCGGCCCUCAAAAUUAGUGGCGGCGCCGGUGGGCUCUAAGCGUAGUACAUACUCCCGCUAUAGAGUUCCCCCCGGUGGCUCGCCAGAACCCCCAAUUUUUUACAGGUUGACCUCGGAUCAGGUAGGGAUACCCGCUGAACUUAAGCAUAUCAAUAAGCGGAGGA
rnacentral:rRNA from 1 species